GUGAGGAAUAUUGCGCAAUGGAGGCAACUCUGACGCAGCCAUGCCGCGUGCAGGAAGAAGGCGCUACGCGUUGUAAACUGCUUUUAACCGGGAAGAAACCCCAGGACGUGUCCUGGGUUGACGGUACCGGAGGAAUAAGCACCGGCUAACUUCGUGCCAGCAGCCGCGGUAAUACGAAGGGUGCAAGCGUUAUCCGGAUUCAUUGGGUUUACAGGGUGCGUAGGCGAGGCGUUAAGUCAGUGGUGAAAUCUUUCAGCUUAACUGUAGACUUGCCAUUGAUACUGGCGCUCUUGAGUGCGCUUGAAGUGGGCGGAAUGUGCCGUGUAGCGGUGAAAUGCUUAGAUAUGGCACAGAACACCAAUUGCGAAGGCAGCUCACUAAGGCGAUACUGACGCUGAGGCACGAAAGCGUGGGGAUCGAACAGGAUUAGAAACCCCAGUAGUCC
rnacentral:rRNA from 1 species